CACGUAGGGCGCAAGCGUUGUCCGGAAUUAUUGGGCCUAAAGCAUCCGUAGCCGGUUCUACAAGUCUUCCGUUAAAUCCACCUGCUCAACAGUUGGGCUGCGGAGGAUACUAUAGAGCUAGGAGGCGGGAGAGGCAAGCGGUACUUAGUGGGUAGGGGUAAAAUCCGUUGAUCCAUUGAAGACCACCAGUGGCGAAGGCGGCUUGCCAGAACGCACUCGACGGUGAGGGAUGAAAGCUGGGGGAGCAAACCGG
rnacentral:rRNA from 1 species